GAUAAACCCAAGAAGACCUCCGAUUUCUGCUCAAAGUGUAGAUGCUGAUGAUCAUUUUUUUUACCCAUGUUCUGAUGAAUCGAUGUAUUCUGAGAAAUGUCUGAUAGAUUUAAUGCAACUGAAUAUGAUGAUGAUGAACACCUAGGUAUUCAUGCAAUUGAAUGAUCGAGUUAAAGAUGAUGAAGAUGAGCAUUGGAUUCUCUACCUCUUUGAUUAGAAGCAUAUUUCUGGCACACACUGAGAAGUUUGAAGAGCUCGUAGCCAAAGCUUGAAAAGUUUAAGCUGAUCAAUCAGACCUAUUCAUGCAAUUGAAUGAUCAGAGGUCCAAGAUUAUGAUGAUGAUGAGCAUUGGAUUCUCUAUGAAGCAUAUUUCUGGCAAACACUGAGAAGUUUCAAGAGUUCUUGGCCAAAGCUUAAAAAGUUUAAUAAUAUCAGAGCUGGAAACGCACUGAGAAUGCUUUUGCUGGUAAUCCCACAAGGAUGUAUUGAUAUAUAUCUUUAAGAAUGCUUGACACUGCUGCUGGAAAAUUCUCGGGAAAAUUUGGGGACACUGUUUCUUCGCUGAUUUUCAGGAAUGGGUCCUCUAAACUCUAGCAAGUGCAAAUAUUGAUCAACACUAAUGAAAUGCAAGUUUUAUGUUGCACCCUUUUACCUCUGGUUUACAGGAAACAAGUUUGAAUUUGGGCAUGAAGGAUCCAUGAUCAAUUAGACUGCAACAACAAAUGUUUAACUAGAAUCUACCAUGAAACAUAUAAUAAAAACACCAGUCCAAGUCUCAUCCAUUAUUACCCGAAACAAAUACAAAACAAGGUUUUGAAAUUUAAAACAAACGUCAUAAGAAAUGCUUGUAAACCAAUAUUUAUUUUUAUUCUCCACUUGGCUACUUCCGCAAUAAGUACCGGAAUCAAGUGAAGCGAGGGUACUCACAUAUUUCUCUGCUCCGCAUGAUAUUUUGACACCACGCAUCCUCAAUAUCUUAG